rnacentral:misc_RNA from 1 species
AGCAGCCGCGGUAAUUCCAGCUCCAAUAGCGUAUAUUAAAGUUGUUGCAGUUAAAAGCUCGUAGUUGAAUUUCGGGGUUAGUAGGUUGGUCAUGCCUCUGGUAUGUACUGGUCUCACUGAUUCCUCCUUCCUGAUGAACCUUAAUGCCAUUAAUUUGGUGUUUUGGGGAAUUUGGACUGUUACUUUGAAAAAUUAGAGUGUUUAAAGCAAGCUAACGCUUGAAUACAUUAGCAUGGAAUAAUGAAAUAGGACGUUCGAUCCUAUUUUGUUGGUUUCUAGGAUUGACGUAAUGAUUAAUAGGGAUAGUUGGGGGCAUUAGUAUUCAAUUGUCAGAGGUGAAAUUCUUGGAUUUAUUGAAGACUAACUACUGCGAAAGCAUUUGCCAAGGAUGUUUUCAUUAAUCAAGAACGAAGUUAGGGAUCGAAGACGAUCAGAUACCGUCGUAGUCUUAACCAUAAACUAUGCCGACUAGGGAUCGGAUGAUGUUAAUUUUUAAUGUACUCAUUCGGCGCCUUACGGG